CACAGUUGAGAGCAAAGCAGAAGCACCGACCUUGAUAGAGUCUCCAUGAGGGUUUGAUACACAGGGAAAUGGAAAUUGAAACAACAAUAAGAAGCCACUACACACCGAUUAAGAUGGCUAAAUCCAGAACACUGACACCACCAAAUGCUGAUGAAGAUGUGGAGCAAUAAGAACUCUCAUUUAUUCCUGGUGGAAAUGCAAAAAUGAUGCAGCCACUUUAGUACACAGUUUGGCAGUUUCUUACAAAACUAAAUAUAUUCUUAUUAUAUGAUCUGGCAAUCAUGAUCCUUAGUAUUUACUCAAAGGGGUUGAAAAUUUAUGUCCACACAGUAAUAUGCACAUGGAUGUUUAUAGCAGCUUUCUUCAUAUUGCCAAAAUUUGGAAGCAACAAAGAUGUCCUUCAGUGGGUGAAUGUGUAAAUAAAAUGCGGUAAAUAUAGACAAUGGAAUAUUAAUCAGAGCUAAAAGCAAAUCAGUUAUCAAGCCAUGAGAAGAUACGGAGAAAACUUAAAUGUUAUUACUGAGUGAAAAGAAGUCAAUAUGAAAAGGCUACAUCUGUAUGAUUUAAAUCAUAUGACAUUCUGGAAAAGGCAGAACUACUGAGAAAGUAGUGGCUGAGGGUGAGAAAGAGCGAGGUGGUACACAGAGCAUUUUAGAGCAGUGAAAAUAUUUGGUAUGAUAAUCAUAGUAGUGGAUACAUGUCAUUUUACAUGGUCCAAACCCAUAGAAUGAAUAACACUAAGGAUAAACCCUGAUGUAAACUAUGAACUUUGGAUGAUAAUACUGUGCCAUGUAGGUUCACAAUGGUAACAAAUAUGCCACUCUAGUGGGGAAUGUUCAUAAUGGGAGAGGCUAUAUAUGUGAGGGUUUAGGGGCUAUGUGAGAAAUGUCUGUACUUCCUACUUAAUUUUUCUGUGAAUCUAAAAUUACUCUAAAAACUACAAUAUUUUAAAAUAUCCUAUUUGAUGAAAUCAGAUAGUUACAAAGGUGUCAAGGACUGGAGAGUAUAAAAUCUCAUAGAGAAAGGAUGUCCCAGAAAUGUCAGAUUUUGAGACAUUUGCCAAUUCUAGAGCAAUGGUUGAGAAGCUGAGAAGUGGAGCAAAGUUUAUAGCAGCUUAUUGUUUGGGAAAAAUAUUGAAAAUCAGCAUCUACCCAGAAUAAAAGGCCCUGGUAAACACUCAGGCUUUCUGUCUGUUACCCUUACCAAAGGUAUUUGGCCCAUUUUUUAUUCAAGUUUUUUGUUUUCUUAUUUCUGAGUUUUAAGUGUUCUUGAUAUAUUUCAGAUAACAAUUCAUAUCAGUUAUAACUUUUGUAAAUAUUUUCUCCCAGUCUGUGGUUUGUCUUUUUAUUCUCUGGACAGUGUAUUUCACAGAGCAGAAAUUUUUAAUUUUAAUGAGGUAUAGAUUAUCAAUUCUUCUUUUCAUAGAUCAUGCCUUUGGUUUUAUGUGCCUCAGAAUAAGCGAAGUAAACAUUAGGCAAGAGAGAUAGAGACCGCUUUUAGUAUAACUGUGAGUUAUCUCACCAGGAAGAUAUAACAAACCUGUUUUGUAUGGACCUAAUAACACACCUUCAAAUUAUAUAAGGAACAAAUUGACAAAAUUAAAUAAGAAAAUAGAUAAAUUUAUCAUCAUAAUGGUAGUUUUAAAAAAUGUUCUGUUAGUAAUGUGAUUUACAUAGAAGAUUUGAACACAAAUAAACUUGAUUUAAUUAAGAUAUAAACAUUACUCCCUCUCUCUAUAUAUAUCCAAAAUCCACAAAAUCCACAAAUAAGGAGGUUUGACUGUGUGUAUGAGCUUACUCACUAAUAUUUAUUUACAACCCUAAAAAACAGAGUACUGUCAAGGUAAAAUUUGGGCCACCCAACACAUAUGUUCCCAAUUGAAGUCAAACAAGGGAAUGUCCUACCUUCUUGAUGAAGGGUUUUAUCAGGUUGAUCCAUAUGAAUUACUAUUUACAUAGAUUAAAAUGUCAAAUAUCAGCAGUUUCAUAUGGUUCAACUUAGGCUGGGUGUUUUCAAGCUGUUCAAUUUUUUUUUAGUACUUUUGUUUGUUAAUUUCCAGUUUAUUGGAUUUGGUUAGACAAUAUAGAAUAUAGUUUCAAAUGUAUGCUUUUAAGUACAUAUAAACAUAUAUGAAUAUUUUUAUAAAUAAUGAGUAUAUGUUCUAUAUAUAUAAACACAGUACUCUGUGUGUGUGUGAACUGUACUUAUUUAAAUCUUCUAUAUUACUGGUCUUAAAAUGUGAUAUACUUUACAGAUUUUUACCAGGAGACAAUUAUACUUUUGGCCAGUUGAGUGCUUAAAAAAAAAAAAACUUAAAUAUCUCUUAAGUAGGGUAUUGGGUCUCCAUUUCAGUCACAGUCUAUACCCCUUCCUAUUGUCUUAUUACUAAACUAAUCCACAAAAUUAUAUUAUAUGCCAAGAUCCUAUAGGCAUUAGAAUUCUCUUCCCUACUCUAGAUCUUUUCCCUUGUGAGUUCCACAUUUUGUUGCUGUUGUUGGCCUGUUAGAUAGUUAUUCCAUUAUUUUUUCAGAAAACUAAAGCAAGUGUUCUGUUUUUCUAUUGCUGUACUAAAUUUUGUAAUUCAAAUAUAAUGUUUCCUUGGUUCCAGAAAGCUCUUUUUGUGCUUUAAUUGCACCCUCUUGAAAAGCUGUAUUUUUUGUUCAAGCUUUUAUCUUUUUCAUUUAUUUUACCUUAAUAGAAACUUCCUGUUCUUAUUAUUCAAUUAAGUCUCUUUCCCUCUUUUUAGUGAGUGUUUUUCAAAAUGGAUCACUGCUUCUCUUUGCCUUCUUAUGAGUUUAAGUUAUCUCUACUGCCCUAUAUGCUAGGACAGCGGUACCCAAACUUUUUGGCACCAGGAGCCAGUUUUAUGGAAGACAAUUUUUCCACGGACAGCGGGGAGGUGGAGGGAUGGUUUCAGGAUGAUUCAAGCACACUAUAUUUAUCAUUAUAUUCUCAUAAGGAGUGCGCAACCUAGACCGCUUGCAUAAGUGGUUCAUAAUACAGUUCGGGCUCCUAUGAGAAUCUAAUGACCCCACUCAUCUAACAGGAAGCUGAGCUCAGCUUCACUCGUCGGUCACUCACUUCCUGCUGUGUAGCCUGGUUCCCAACUGGUCACUGACCAGUACCUGUUGGCUAAUGCCUAAGAUAACCCCACAUCCUAGCAUAGGGCUAGGAUGUGGGGGUAUUUUAGUCACUGGCAAAACUGCAGGAACUGGAAGAUAGGAGUCAUUUCCUUAUGAGACAAUGUAUAGAGUCAGCUGAAAAAUUGGGACCCCUUUUACUGAAGCAUGCAUGUGAUGAAGACUGUAUGCACGUGAUGGAGACUGCUUAGUGUUUUAGACUUUUCUAAGUGCUCUUGGGGAGAACUAUCUUCUUCCAACCACACGGACUAUCUGUGUAGCCCACUAGGGGAGACUCUUUCCUGGGCCACUGGCACCAAGAAUAUUGUGCAACCUCCUCCAGGACUUGACAGGUGGGAAGGCACAGCUCCCCUUUUAUCUAACCGAUUUUAGGGAAGUAGUGUAAUUUUUGGUCUUCACUCCAGGUUCUGCUAUCCUCACAAAUAAUGAAAGCCUUUUUUUUUUUCUUUUACUUCUCAGGAGCUCAAGUCUUGGCAGCAAAGGGAUUUCCUAUAGAUUCAUUUAAUGGGGUUAUUUUAUGUGUUGAAAUGUCCUGGCAAAAAAAGCAACGUCCUGGCAAAGAAAGGAGGGGUUGGGGUGGGGUCAGGAAUGUGAAUUCAGAUCGUCAUUAUUCAUGAAAAGCCAACCAUUCUUUUUCAGUUUGAACAUAUCUUUCUUUCUUUUCUGUUGUCCUUUCUGUGGUUCUUUUCUCAAGAUGGCUAUUCCUAGGGGCCUAGACCUUACCACAAACAUCUCUAGAAUCACAACCUUAUGAAAGAAAGAAAAUAAUGGAUCUGUUUUCCUUGAGCUGUAGUUAAAAAAUAGAAGCUGGAAACUUCAAGUGACCCAGUUUUCACAUUUACACAAGCCAGAGACCAGAGGGCAGAGUAUUGUGAUUGGCCUCUUUUAACAAAAUUGCAGGGAUAGAAUGUGGAGGGAAUAGUUCCUUAAAAUAGACUGCAUUUAUAGUAUGGGAAAGAAUAGAGAUUUUCCAUCCAUCACACUUCACUUUGUGUAAGUAUCAACUAUAUGGUAAUUGACCUGAAAAUUGAGUGUAAGCCUUUUCUACCAAUAUUGGUUUUAUGUGCUCUUGAGUUUUCUCUUGCCUGAGUAUUUUUCUCUUUUACAUUCUAGUUAUAUUUGCUUCUUGUCCCUUGAAUAACAUGACUAACACUAGAGGCAGAGAACAAACAGAACAUUCAGUUUUGCCGUCACUCCAUUGCUAUAGCCCAGAGACAUGGAUAUUUAAAAAGGGUAAACUUUUUUUAACGUUUCUCUUCUUAGGAGAACAUUUUCAGGGACAUUAAAAAUAGGUAUCUAUGGAGAAAUAACCAGUUUCUUAGCAUAGCAGAACUUAAAAAUGUGUUAAUUUCUGAAAUUUUAAUUAAAUAACUGAGUAAAAAUCAAGAUUCCUGAUUGAAUAUACAUGCAUUAUUGAUUACACCUGCAUCUAUUUUUUAAUCAAAUAUUCUAAGAGAAUCACACACCACUUCAAAUUGUGAUUGGCUUAUAAUUUAAUGCUUCUUCAUGCAGCAUCAAAUGUAACUUCAGUUUUCAAAUGUUGUACAAAUUAUAUAUUUGAGAUUUCAGAGCUAACUAAAUGUUAUCUUCUC
rnacentral:lncRNA from 10 species